rnacentral:rRNA from 1 species
AUUGAACGCUGGCGGCAGGCCUAACACAUGCAAGUCGCCCGCGUGGCGGCCGGGUGAGUAAUGUCUGGGAAACUGCCUGAUGGAGGGGGAUAACUACUGGAAACGGUAGCUAAUACCGCAUACCAUCAGAUGUGCCCAGAUGUGAUUAGCUAGUUGGUGGGGUAACGGCGCACCAAUGCGACGAUCCCUAGCUGGUCUGAGAGGAGGACCAGCCACCAUGGAACUGAGACACGGUCCAGAAUCCGACGGGAGGCAGCAGUGGGGAAUAUUUCACAAGGGGCGCAAGCCUGAUGCAGCCAUGCCGCGUGUAUGAAGAAGGCCUUCGGGUUGUAAAGUACUUUCAGCUGGGAGGCGUUACCCGCAGAAGAAGCACCGGCGAACGCCGUGCCAGCAGCCGCGGUAAUUC